CCUGGUAGUGGGGGACAACGUUUCGAAAGGAACGCUAAUACCGCAUACGUCCUACGGGAGAAAGCAGGGGACCUUCGGGCCUUGCGCUAUCAGAUGAGCCUAGGUCGGAUUAGCUAGUUGGUGGGGUAAUGGCUCACCAAGGCGACGAUCCGUAACUGGUCUGAGAGGAUGAUCAGUCACACUGGAACUGAGACACGGUCCAGACUCCUACGGGAGGCAGCAGUGGGGAAUAUUGGACAAUGGGCGAAAGCCUGAUCCAGCCAUGCCGCGUGUGUGAAGAAGGUCUUCGGAUUGUAAAGCACUUUAAGUUGGGAGGAAGGGCAGUAAGCUAAUACCUUGCUGUUUUGACGUUACCGACAGAAUAAGCACCGGCUAACUCUGUGCCAGCAGCCGCGGUAAU
rnacentral:rRNA from 1 species